AGCACCACAACGGGUGGAGCCUGCGGUUUAAUCGGACUCAACGCCGGGAAACUCACCAGAUAAGACAGCUGAAUGAUAGUCGGGCUGAAGACUCUACUUGACUAGCUGAGAGGAGGUGCAUGGCCGUCGUCAGUUCGUACUGUGAAGCAUCCUGUUAAGUCAGGCAACGAGCGAGACCCACGCCAACAGUUGCCAGCUCGUCCUCCGGGAUGGUGGGGACACUGUUGGGACCGCCUCUGCUAAAGAGGAGGAAGGAAUGGGCAACGGUAGGUCAGCAUGCCCCGAAUUAUCUGGGCUACACGCGGGCUACAAUGGGUGGGACAAUGGGUAUCGACACCGAAAGGUGAAGGCAAUCUCCUAAACCCAUCCGUAGUUCGGAUUGUGGGCUGCAACUCGCCCACAUGAAGCUGGAAUCUGUAGUAAUCGUGUCUCAAAAUGGCACGGUGAAUAUGUCCCUGCUCCUU
rnacentral:rRNA from 1 species